CUUGUCCUACGGGGGGCAGCAGUGGGGAAUAUUGCGCAAUGGGGGGAACCCUGACGCAGCAACGCCGCGUGCAGGAAGAAGGUCUUCGGAUUGUAAACUGUUGUCGCAAGGGAAGAAGACAGUGACGGUACCUUGUGAGAAAGUCGCGGCUAACUACGUGCCAGCAGCCGCGGUACUACGGAGGAUGCGAGCGUUAUCCGGAUUUAUUGGGUUUAAAGGGUGCGCAGGCGGCGAGUUAAGUCAGCGGUAAAAUUUCGGGGCUCAA
rnacentral:rRNA from 1 species